AAAUUUCCCCAAAUCAGACCUGCCUCUUUCUCUCUUCACCAUCGUCGUGCCAGCCACCGCCGUCGCGACUCGCCGCCACGACCAGCGCCGCUUGGCACUCGUUGUGCCCCUUAUCUCGCCGUCCUCUGUCUGUUUACCUGUAGCAGUAGCUGCGGAGAUAUCUCUCCAUCUCAAACCCGCGUCGCCUGCCACCAGCCAUGUCGACUCGCUGCCACGUCUCGCGUCUCUGCCACACCGGCCGUCUGUUCACCGCCCCUUUAACCCUAGGCGCCGCGAUUUAAUUUGAAUCCAAGGGUUAGGGUUCCGCCGAGCAGGAUUUUGAAGAAGGCGUCGGACGGCGCGGUCGUUUACGGCAGGUAUCUGCCGGAGAACAGCGGGUGGAAUUGCUUUAGCAAGGUUUCUCGCUCUCUUGCUGCCAGUGAAGAAGCUCUUACUUGUUGUAGAUGCCUCCCAGGUGCUUCUAGAUUCUUGAGGACCUGCACAACAGUUUCAUGGACAUUCCACAUUUUCUAUGAGAAGG